UGUCUGUGAUGGAAGGUGUCUUUAAACAAUAGAAUGUGUCUGUGAUGGAAGGUGUCUUUAAACAAUAGAAUGUGUCUGUGAUGGAAGGUGUCUUUAAACAAUAGAAUGUGUCUGUGAUGGAAGGUGCUUUUAAACAAUAGAAUGUGUCUGUGAUGGAAGGUGUGGUACCUUUAAACAAUAGAAUGUGUCUGUGAUGGAAGGUGUGGUGUCUUUAAACAAUAGAAUGUGUCUGUGAUGGAAGGUGUCUUUAAACAAUAGAAUGUGUCUGUGAUGGAAGGUGUCUUUAAGAAAUAGAAUGUGUCUGUGAUGGAAGGUGUCUUUAAACAAUAGAAUGUGUCUGUGAUGGAAGGUGUGGUGCCUUUAAACAAUAGAAUGUGUCUGUGAUGGAAGGUGUAUUUAAACAAUAGACUGUGUCUGUGAUGGAAGGUGCCUUUAAACAAUAGACUGUGUCUGUGAUGGAAGGUGUCUUUAAGAAAUAGAAUGUGUCUGUGAUGGAAGGUGUGGUGCCUUUAAACAAUAGAAUGUGUCUGUGAUGGAAGGUGUGUUGCCUUUAAACAAUAGACUGUGUCUGUGAUGGAAGGUGUCUUUAAGAAAUAGAAUGUGUCUGUGAUGGAAGGUGUGGUGCCUUUAAACAAUAGAAUGUGUCUGUGAUGGAAGGUGUGUUGCCUUUAAACAAUAGACUGUGUCUGUGAUGGAAGGUGUCUUUAAGAAAUAAAAUGUGUCUGUGAUGGAAGGUGUGGUGCCUUUAAACAAUAGAAUGUGUCUGUGAUGGAAGGUGUGUUGCCUUUAAACAAUAGACUGUGUCUGUGAUGGAAGGUGUGGUGCCUUUAAACAAUAGAAUGUGUCUGUGAUGGAAGGUGUCUUUAAACAAUAGAAUGUGUCUGUGAUGGAAGGUGUGUUGUAUUUAAGAAUAGCUGGGUUGUAGCUGUAUGUUAUUCAGCAUGAAUGUGAUUUUCCCAGUAGCAUCUGGCUCUUGUGUAAGAGACUAGGGUCAGAGGGCACAGACCUUUC
ensembl:lncRNA